rnacentral:rRNA from 1 species
UACGGGAGGCAGCAGUGAGGAAUAUUGGACAAUGGGCGAAAGCCUGAUCCAGCCAUGCCGCGUGCAGGAAGACGGCCCUAUGGGUUGUAAACUGCUUUUAUACGGGAAGAAACACUCUCUCGAGCAGGGGGCUUGACGGUACCGUAUGAAUAAGGAUCGGCUAACUCCGUGCCAGCAGCCGCGGUAAUACGGAGGAUCCGAGCGUUAUCCGGAAUUAUUGGGUUUAAAGGGUCCGUAGGCGGGAGAAUUAGUCAGUGGUGAAAGUCUGUGGCUCAACCAUAGAAUUGCCGUUGAAACUGUUUUCCUUGAGUCAUUAUGAAGUGGUUAGAACAUGUAGUGUAGCGGUGAAAUGCAUAGAUAUUACAUAGAAUACCGAUUGCGUAGGCAGAUCACUAAUAAUGUACUGACGCUGAGGGACGAAAGCGUAGGUAGCGAACAGGAUUAGAUACCCUGGUAGUCUACGCCGUAAACGAUGGUUACUAGCUGUUUGUCCGAUUGAGGAUGA